rnacentral:sRNA from 1 species
UCAGAACAUAGUACACCUACAAUGGCCU